AUGGAGAUGCAGCAGUACUUCGGCGGCUGCGGCGAUGGCGAUGCUGACUGGUUCCAUCAGCUCGCCUUGCUCCCGCCUUUGCCGGUCUCUUCGUCUCUGCCGCCUCUCCCCAUGAGGCCGGAAGAACAGAUGGGCUGCCUGCAGAUGAUACCUCCACAGGCUGUUGCCGAUGAUGAGUACAGCAGCUACGCCACCAACAAUGUCGACGUCCUCCCGCCGUUUCCUGCAGGUCUCGAUGAUCCCACGGCAGGCCUCGACGACGCGCUGCUCAUGGAGUCCUUCAGAGACAUCGACCUGGAGGAGUUCGCCGACGCCGUCGGCCCCAAGAUUAAGACCGAGCCUCUCGACGACGCCAUGGUGCCGGCGGAUCACGAUUUCGCGGCGCAAGUGCAACAGGCGCGCCCCGUGGUGAUCAUGAACCAGCAGCAGCUGAAUGCACCACACGGCGUGCGCCUGCUCAAUGAUCCCGACGACGAUGACUCAGCUGUCGUCGCCGGGGGCUAUGAGGCGGCGGCCGUUGGGUGCGCUGAGCAGAAGCAGGUGAGGCCGGCGCCACGUCGUGUGCGGAAGAGCAGCGGUGGGUCACGCCCUGCCGCCGGUGGGAAAAGCCUCGAUCACAUAGGGUUUGAGGAGCUGCGUACGUAUUUCUACAUGCCUAUCACCAAGGCGGCGCGGGAGAUGAACGUCGGUCUCACCGUGCUCAAGAAGCGCUGCCGUGAGCUCGGUGUCGCCCGUUGGCCUCACCGGAAGAUGAAGAGCCUCAGGUCUCUCAUCCUUAACAUCCAGGACAUGGGGAAGGGCGCCACGUCGCCGGCGGCGGUGCAAGGGGAGCUGGAGGCGCUUGAGAGGUAUUGUGCCAUAAUGGAGGAGAACCCGGCGAUCGAGCUGACGGAGCAGACCAAGAAGCUGAGGCAGGCCUGCUUUAAGGAGAACUACAAGAGGAGGAGAGCGGCGGCCUCCGUCAACUUGCUCGAGCAUUGCUACAACGACUUGGGCAGUCAUGAGCAGCAGAUGCCAUUGCCACAGAUGGGUUUCUUUGGGUUCUAA
rnacentral:rRNA from 1 species